AUGCCUCUCUCUGCCUACCACGCACACUUAAGUAACCACACACACACAGCUCUGCCCGUGGGCCUACAUGUCUGGCGAGUGGGUCCACUCUUUCCUUGUCCACUGCAUCAUCAGUGGGAUGCAGGUGUGACACCAUUGCUCUUGAGGCUUCAUGUUUUGGUGAUGGAAUUUAUAGGAAAAGGAGGUUGGGCUGCUCCUCGACUUAAGGAUGCUGCUUUGUCGGAUGACAAGUUGCGUGAAACUUACUUUGAGAUUGUUACAACAAUGCGGACACUUUACCAAAAGUGCAAGCUUGUCCACGGUGAUUUGAGUGAAUACAACAUUCUUUAUUUUGAGGGGCACUUGUACAUCAUUGAUGUUUCACAGUCUGUCGACCUUGACCAUCCUUCAGCUUUGGAUUUCCUGAAGGAAGAUUGCUUGCAUGUUAAUGAUUUCUUUAAAAAACAAGGCGUUGCUGUCAUGACAGUAACAGAGCUAUUUAAUUUCGUUGUGGAUCAAAAUAUCGCUGAUGAAGAUGUUGAUGAUUACCUGGAGAAGGUUCAGCAGAAGAUUCUGGAAAAUGGAGAUACAGCUGCAGAUGAUGAUGCAAUUGCUCCGACUGUCUUGGUGCAGACGUUGGAUUAUGUGAAGCAAUGUGAGGCAGAGAUUGUCAGCAUGUCCAUGAUGCAACGUCCCUCUAUCGGUUAUGAGCCAACAGCAGAUAAGCUUUAUGACCAGCCACUGUUAGGAUUUGUGCGGACUAUAAAUGAGCAUACCGAAAACCAGGAAGCACAAUCGGCACAAAAUACACCGGAAGAACCCUUGGACCUGCAAACUAAGUGCUGCUCCUUGGAGAACAAGGAGGAAGAUGAAUCGGGUGACAGUGAAUCUUGCUCUAGUUCCGACGAAGACGGUUCGUGGCACGAGUCCACAAAGAUGGGGCCCGAGGAAAGGAAGGCUUAUCGCAAGGAAAACAAGAAGAAAGUGAAGGAAGAGAAGAGGGAAACUCGCAAGACGAAGAUCCCCAAGGCUGAUAAGAAGAAGAGGAAGAAAAUGGCGAAAGCUAAGUGCAAGCUAAGUACAGCGACGUGUUUGGAGAACCAAAGAAACUGCCACCACACCGUCAAUAUGAUCAUGCCAUUACAUUGGUCUGCAAUAUUCAGAUUCGUAUGUAUUUUGCAAACUUCUAUGUCUCCCUCCUUGACUAGAUCGCGGAUGGAAUUGAAGCGUCUCUUGAUGUGCUUGAUUUUUUUGUGA
rnacentral:rRNA from 1 species